GGGAAAAGCUCAAAUUUAAAAUCUGGCGGUCUCCGGCCGUCCGAGUUGUAAUUUAGAGAAGCGUUAUCCGUGCUGGACCGUGUAUAAGUCUCCUGGAAUGGAGCGUCAUAGAGGGUGAGAAUCCCGUCUUUGACACGGACUACCAGUGCAUUGUGAUGCGCUCUCGACGAGUCGAGUUGUUUGGGAAUGCAGCUCAAAAUGGGUGGUAAAUGCCAUCUAAAGCUAAAUAUUGGCGAGAGACCGAUAGCGAACAAGUACCGUGAGGGAAAGAUGAAAAGAACUUUGGAAAGAGAGUUAAACAGUACGUGAAAUUGUCGAAAGGGAAACGGUUGCAGUCAGUCGCGUCCGCCGGGGAUCAACCUUGCUUUUGCUUGGCGUAUUUCCCGGUGGAUGGGUCAGCAUCAGUUUUGACCGCAGUUGAAAGGCUGGAGGAAUGUGGCACCUUCGGGUGUGUUAUAGCCUCCUGUCAUAUGCUGCGGUUGGGACUGAGGAACUCAGCACGCCGCAAGGCCGGGAUUCGUCCACGUUCGUGCUUAGGAUGCUGACAUAAUGUCUGUAACCGACCCGU
rnacentral:rRNA from 1 species